rnacentral:rRNA from 1 species
CCUACGGGUCGCAGCAGUGGGGAAUAUUGGACAAUGGGCGAAAGCCUGAUCCAGCAAUGCCGCGUGUGUGAAGAAGGUCUUCGGAUUGUAAAGCACUUUCGACGGGGACGAUGAUGACGGUACCCAUAGAAGAAGCCCCGGCUAACUUCGUGCCAGCAGCCGCGGUAAUACGAAGGGGGCUAGCGUUGCUCGGAAUGACUGGGCGUAAAGGGCGCGUAGGCGGUUUAUGCAGUCAGAUGUGAAAUCCCCGGGCUUAACCUGGGAACUGCAUUUGAGACGCAUAGACUAGAGGUCGAGAGAGGGUUGUGGAAUUCCCAGUACAGAGGUGAAAUUCGUAGAUAUUGGGAAGAACACCGGUGGCGAAGGCGGCAACCUGGCUCGAUACUGACGCUCAGGUGCGAAAGCGUGGGGAGCAAAUAGGAUUAGAUACCCGUGUAGUC